UACGAAGGGGGCUAGCGUUGCUCGGAAUUACUGGGCGUAAAGCGCACGUAGGCGGUCUUUUAAGUCGGGGGUGAAAUCCUGGAGCUCAACUCCAGAACUGCCUUUGAUACUGAAGAUCUUGAGUUCGGGAGAGGUGAGUGGAACUGCGAGUGUAGAGGUGAAAUUCGUAGAUAUUCGCAAGAACGCCAGUGGCGAAGGCGGCUCACUGGCCCGAUACUGACGCUGAGGCACGAAAGCGUGGGGAGCAACAGGG
rnacentral:rRNA from 1 species